rnacentral:lncRNA from 1 species
GGAAAAAGAAAGAGAGCUCCGUACAACUGUUUCAAUGACAAAGAAUGGAUUAGAUUGAAAAUGAUCCUUCCAGUUCGGGCUCAAAUGGUGGUGACAUACUUUCACUGCAUGGGCCGAGAAUGGGUUUAGAAUUGUUUCUUGUAUCAAAAGGUUGUACUGAAAAUUGCCUUGAAAAUAUUUUCUAAAUUGUAGGCCUGAUGAAAAUUCUUUGAGGAAUAUGUCUUUUUUUUUUUUUAUCAGACUCCAGUUUUCCAAGGUGAAUAUAAGAACAGAGAAUAUCCGAGCAACUCCUAGACUAUUCAGACUUGAGGUUCCUACGCAUUUCAUUUUCUCCAUAUUGGCAGGUAAUUUAAAAAUAAAUACUGCUGCAGGUGAACCGCUAGAAAGUAUUUUACUGUCAUUGAACCGAAAGGUCAAGAUGAAGCAGAUUUCCUGAUAUCAUCUGAUUGGAGCAAAGGGAGUGAAAGCAGGUGCGCUCUGUAAUCUGGGGUUAGAGC